AGAGUUUGAUCCUGGCUCAGGACGAACGCUGGCGGCGUGCCUAAUACAUGCAAGUCGAACGCUUCUUUUUCCACCGGAGCUUGCUCCACCGGAAAAAGAGGAGUGGCGAACGGGUGAGUAACACGUGGGUAACCUGCCCAUCAGAAGGGGAUAACACUUGGAAACAGGUGCUAAUACCGUAUAACAAUCGAAACCGCAUGGUUUUGAUUUGAAAGGCGCUUUCGGGUGUCGCUGAUGGAUGGACCCGCGGUGCAUUAGCUAGUUGGUGAGGUAACGGCUCACCAAGGCGACGAUGCAUAGCCGACCUGAGAGGGUGAUCGGCCACAUUGGGACUGAGACACGGCCCAAACUCCUACGGGAGGCAGCAGUAGGGAAUCUUCGGCAAUGGACGAAAGUCUGACCGAGCAACGCCGCGUGAGUGAAGAAGGUUUUCGGAUCGUAAAACUCUGUUGUUAGAGAAGAACAAGGAUGAGAGUAACUGUUCAUCCCUUGACGGUAUCUAACCAGAAAGCCACGGCUAACUACGUGCCAGCAGCCGCGGUAAUACGUAGGUGGCAAGCGUUGUCCGGAUUUAUUGGGCGUAAAGCGAGCGCAGGCGGUUUCUUAAGUCUGAUGUGAAAGCCCCCGGCUCAACCGGGGAGGGUCAUUGGAAACUGGGAGACUUGAGUGCAGAAGAGGAGAGUGGAAUUCCAUGUGUAGCGGUGAAAUGCGUAGAUAUAUGGAGGAACACCAGUGGCGAAGGCGGCUCUCUGGUCUGUAACUGACGCUGAGGCUCGAAAGCGUGGGGAGCAAAACAGGAUUAGAUACCCUGGUAGUCCACGCCGUAAACGAUGAGUGCUAAGUGUUGGAGGGUUUCCGCCCUUCAGUGCUGCAGCUAACGCAUUAAGCACUCCGCCUGGGGAGUACGACCGCAAGGUUGAAACUCAAAGGAAUUGACGGGGGCCCGCACAAGCGGUGGAGCAUGUGGUUUAAUUCGAAGCAACGCGAAGAACCUUACCAGGUCUUGACAUCCUUUGACCACUCUAGAGAUAGAGCUUCCCCUUCGGGGGCAAAGUGACAGGUGGUGCAUGGUUGUCGUCAGCUCGUGUCGUGAGAUGUUGGGUUAAGUCCCGCAACGAGCGCAACCCUUAUUGUUAGUUGCCAUCAUUUAGUUGGGCACUCUAGCAAGACUGCCGGUGACAAACCGGAGGAAGGUGGGGAUGACGUCAAAUCAUCAUGCCCCUUAUGACCUGGGCUACACACGUGCUACAAUGGGAAGUACAACGAGUCGCAAAGUCGCGAGGCUAAGCUAAUCUCUUAAAGCUUCUCUCAGUUCGGAUUGUAGGCUGCAACUCGCCUACAUGAAGCCGGAAUCGCUAGUAAUCGCGGAUCAGCACGCCGCGGUGAAUACGUUCCCGGGCCUUGCACACAACGCCCGUCAA
rnacentral:rRNA from 1 species